AUUGAACGCUGGCGGCAUGCCUUACACAUGCAAGUCGAACGGUAACGGGCCUUCGGGUGCCGACGAGUGGCGAACGGGUGAGUAAUGCAUCGGAACGUACCUUUCAGUGGGGGAUAACGUAGCGAAAGUUACGCUAAUACCGCAUAUUCUGUGAGCAGGAAAGCAGGGGAUCGCAAGACCUUGCGCUGAUUGAGCGGCCGAUGUCAGAUUAGCUAGUUGGUGAGGUAAAGGCUCACCAAGGCGACGAUCUGUAGCGGGUCUGAGAGGAUGAUCCGCCACACUGGAACUGAGACACGGUCCAGACUCCUACGGGAGGCAGCAGUGGGGAAUUUUGGACAAUGGGGGCAACCCUGAUCCAGCCAUGCCGCGUGAGUGAAGAAGGCCUUCGGUUGUAAAG
rnacentral:rRNA from 1 species